GAUGAAGAACGUAGCGAAAUGCGAUAAGUAAUGUGAAUUGCAGAAUUCAGUGAAUCAUCGAAUCUUUGAACGCACAUUGCGCCCGCCAGUAUUCUGGCGGGCAUGCCUGUUCGAUCGUCAUUUCAACCAUCAAGCCCCCGGCUUGUGUUGGGGACCUGCGGCUGCCGCAGGCCCUGAAAACCAGUGGCGGGCUCGCUAGUCACUCCGAGCGUAGUAAUACAUCUCGCUCAGGGCGUGCUGCGGGUUCCGGCCGUUAAAAAGCCUUAUUUACCCAAGGUUGACCUCGGAUCAGGUAGGAAGACCCGCUGAACUUAAGCAUAUCAAUAAGCGGAGGA
rnacentral:misc_RNA from 1 species